AUUGAACGCUGGCGGCAUGCCUUACACAUGCAAGUCGAACGGCAGCACGGGGCAACCUGGUGGCGAGUGGCGAACGGGUGAGUAAUGCAUCGGAACGUACCUUUCAGUGGGGGAUAACGUAGCGAAAGUUACGCUAAUACCGCAUAUUCUGUGAGCAGGAAAGCAGGGGAUCGCAAGACCUUGCGCGGAUUGAGCGGCCGAUGUCAGAUUAGCUAGUUGGUGGGGUAAAGGCUCACCAAGGCGACGAUCUGUAGCGGGUCUGAGAGGAUGAUCCGCCACACUGGAACUGAGACACGGUCCAGACUCCUACGGGAGGCAGCAGUGGGGAAUUUUGGGCAAUGGGGGCAACCCUGAUCCAGCCAUGCCGCGUGAGUGAAGAAGGCCUUCGGGUUGUAAAGCUCUUUCGGCCGGGAAGAAAUCGCACGGGCUAAUACCCUGUGUGGAUGACGGUACCGGAAUAAGAAGCACCGGCUAACUACGUGCCAGCCGCCGCCGUAAGAC
rnacentral:rRNA from 1 species